AUGAAAUACAAGUAAAAAUUCUAUUAAAUUCAUUUGUAUCUAAAGAAUAAUAUACAACAUUUAUAGCCUUGGCAUUGAGUUGGGCCAUCUUCUUAUCUAAGCCAUCCCAAUCUUUUUCAGAUUUAAGGAUGGCAUGCCAUCUACUAUGAUAGUGGAUGUGUGUGAUCUAUUAAUUAUAUCAUUUUAUAGAUCAUAAUCAAGUUCUUAAAUAAAAAUAUGCAUGCAUGCUUUCCAAUAUGUUAAAUAAAAGAAGUCUAUUGGUAGAUUGCCUUUCGACAUGAGAUAUUCCAAUUUGGCCAAC
rnacentral:lncRNA from 1 species